GGUGUGAGGUCAUGUGGCUAUGACGUCUGUCAUAUUGAUUGGCGGUAUCGGUUGGGUUGAUGUGUGGUGGGAAAGGCAAUGUACUCUCUCCCUCCUGCGCCCUCCACUUCUGUCCCUCCCAAAACUCUGAAGAAAUGUGGUAUUCCCCAGUAAAGGACCACCCUUGCAUCAAGGGCAUAGAACAAGCUCUGCUGCCCUGCUAAAAUUUCCAAACUCUCUCACAAUACACAUUUACCACAUGAGAGUUACGGGCAGACAAACAAGGCAAGAGAAAGAAGCCGGUAGCCUU
rnacentral:sRNA from 1 species